rnacentral:rRNA from 1 species
GACGAACGCUGGCGGCGUGCUUAACACAUGCAAGUCGAACGCUGAAGCUCAGCUUUUGUUGGGUGGAUGAGUGGCGAACGGGUGAGUAACACGUGAGUAACCUGCCUCCUUCUUUGGGAUAACGCCCGGAAACGGGUGCUAAUACUGGAUAUUCACUGGUCUUCGCAUGGGGGUUGGUGGAAAGGGUUUUUCUGGUGGGGGAUGGGCUCGCGGCCUAUCAGCUUGUUGGUGGGGUGAUGGCCUACCAAGGCUUUGACGGGUAGCCGGCCUGAGAGGGUGACCGGUCACAUUGGGACGGAGAUACGGCCCAGACUCCUACGGGAGGCAGCAGUGGGGAAUAUUGCACAAUGGGCGCAAGCCUGAUGCAGCGACGCCGCGUGAGGGAUGGAGGCCUUCGGGUUGUGAACCUCUUUCGCUCAUGGUCAAGCCGCAACAAUGGUUGUGGUGAGGGUAGUGGGUAAAGAAGCGCCGGCUAACUACGUG